rnacentral:rRNA from 1 species
GGGGAAUAUUGCACAAUGGGGGAAACCCUGAUGCAGCGACGCCGCGUGAGUGAAGAAGUAUUUCGGUAUGUAAAGCUCUAUCAGCAGGGAAGAAAAUGACGGUACCUGACUAAGAAGCCCCGGCUAACUACGUGCCAGCAGCCGCGGUAAUACGUAGGGGGCAAGCGUUAUCCGGAUUUACUGGGUGUAAAGGGAGCGUAGGUGGUUUGGUAAGUCAGAUGUGAAAGCCCGGGGCUCAACCCCGGGACUGCAUUUGAAACUAUCAAACUAGAGUGCAGGAGAGGUAAGUGGAAUUCCUAGUGUAGCGGUGAAAUGCGUAGAUAUUAGGAGGAACACCAGUGGCGAAGGCGGCUUACUGGACUGUAACUGACACUGAGGCUCGAAAGCGUGGGGAGCAAAC